UACGUAGGGGGCGAGCGUUGUCCGAAGUUACUGGGCGUAAAGCGCGCGUAGGCGGGUUGGCAAGUCUGCUGUGAAAGCCCGGAGCUUAACUCCGGAGGGUCGGUGGAUACUGCCAAUCUUGAAGGGACUAGGGGGAGAUGGAAUUACCGGUGUAGCGGUGAAAUGCGCAGAUAUCAGGAGGAACACCCGUGGCGAAGGCGGCUCUCUGGGACGGUACUGACGCUGAGACGCGAAAGCGUGGGGAGCGAACAGG
rnacentral:rRNA from 1 species